GACAGAGGGUGCAAACGUUGUUCGGAAUUACUGGGCGUAAAGCGCGUGUAGGCGGCUCUGUAAGUCGGGGUGUGAAAUCCCCACGGCUCAACCGUGGAAGUGCACUCGAAACUACAGGGCUAGAGUCCUGGAGAGGAAGGUGGAAUGCUUGGUGUAGAGGUGAAAUUCGUAGAUAUCAAGCGGAACACCGGUGGCGAAGGCGGCCUUCUGGACAGUGACUGACGCUGAGACG
rnacentral:rRNA from 1 species